UCUUUCCUAAAGGAUAAUCGUGAGCCAGAUGGGUUUUUCCUGACAAUCAACAACGGUUUCAUGAUUGUCAUUAAACUCUUAAUUGAAGAUUGAUAAUCCAAGAUUAGUCAAGAAAAAUGUCAGGUCUCCUUACAAUCAAACAGGGAAUUUUAUAAUGGAGUGCAAAGUGAUGACAGACCAAUUAAAUAUAUCUUAGAUUUUCAAAAAGGGGCACACAAAUAAUGUCCCAAAAUUAAGGGGAUCACAGGGUCUAAUUGGAAGGUGGACUUGUAACAAAUUGGGAAAACUAAUGAGAUAACAGGCAGAUAAAUCCCCAGAGAUUGAUAACUUUCAUCUCAGAGUACCUUCGGAAGUGGCCUUAGAAAUAGCAGCUGCGCUAGUGGUUAUACUCCAAAAUACGAUACACUCGCAAAGAGUUCCGAUGGUUUGGAGGGUAGCUAACAUAACCCCAGUAUUUAAGAAGGAAGUCAGAGAGAAAACAUGGAAUUUGCAUAACAUUGUUGGUGGGAAAAAAUGUUCGAGUCCACUAUAAAAGUGGGAUAACAGACUCCUUAGAUGAUAGUGACUAAAUCAGACAGAGUCAGCCGAGGCUUUUUCUGUGCUGUAGGUCUCUGAGACUGGAUGUUGGGCAUGAAUUCCCUCCCAGCCACUCCCCAUCCUUACUUGGAAAUAUAUCACUAUUCCUUCAGUAUUGCUGGGUGGAAAUCCUGAAUUCCCACCCUAACAGCAUUGUGGGUCCACUUACAGCUCAUGGAGUACAGUGGUUCAUGAAAGCAGAUCACUACCACCCUCUCAAUGACAACUAGAUGCAUGAGCAGCAAUGCUCACAGGAAUAAAGGAAAAAAACAUUAUCAAGGCCAAUUGGGAAUGUGGAAUUGAAGCCUAAAUGGAUGAGCUUUGACCUUUUUGAGGCUCGAGGGGCAUAAUGGACAACUCUAGAUCCUAUUUCAUAUGUUCUCCUCUUCUUCUAUCAAAAUGCCUCAUCUCACCAAAAAUGGUGUAUUCCCUGGAAAUUAAAAGGAUGUUAAUUGAAGCUGGGUGGGGGGAUAAAAUGGAACUAAUAUACCGAGUAGGUGAAGUAGGAGCUCAAAUACCCUCCUGACCCCCCAAUAAUCAGACAAGAUUUGUGUUUCUUUGUUCUCCGGUUCAUUCGAGCAUAUGAAUGAGGAACAACUGUCGGCCACUCGGCCCUUUGAGCCUGCUCUGAGAUUCAAUAAGAUUAGGGCUGACCUGAUUUCAACCUCAACUCUGUGUCUGCGUAUCCCUGAAUAUCUUUCAUCAUCUCAGUCAUCAAGAAUCUGUCUGCUUCUGCCUUAAAAAAAAAGUUUAACAAUCUGCAACCACUGCCUUUUGACAAAGGGAGUUACAAAGAUUCACAACCCUCUUAGAGAAAAGAAAUGUUCCUCACCAUUUCAGAUGGAUUCACCCUUACCUUUAAACAAUGACUAUCAGUUCUAGAUUCUCCCACAAAAGGGACCAUGUUUUCAACAUCCACGUGGUCGGCUCCCCUCAAUAUCUUUCAAAUUUCAAUUUAGUCUCCUCUUUCUUUUCUAGACUCCAGAGGAUCCAGGCCCAGCCUGUCUACCCUUUCCCCAUUAGGCACUCGACUCAUUCUAGGGAAUUGGAAAGGAUUUACAGACAGGCAGCUCAAGUCAAAAAUUGGAUCAACAGCUGCCAGUAACACUCAAUUCUCGAGAGCUUUGAACGUCUCAGGUAGGGAAGAAAAAAGCAUCGUUCACAGUGAAGAGAAACCAUACACAUGGUCUGUGUGGACAAGCCUUCAGUCAAUCGUCUGGCCUGUCGAUACCUAAAUGCAGUCAAAACAGGAUGACAACAAUGACAUCAAGCAGCACUUGCUUUGCAAUAUCAUUGAUGGAUCUCAGUUUGAGUUAAGCAAGGGCCACUCAUCUCCUGAUCUCCUCACAUUUUUGGUGCAAACAUGGACCAAACAGCUGAAUUCCAAAUGAGAGUGCGACUUUCCUGCCAUCUUAAGGCUCUAUUUGACAGAGCAUUGUAUCAAGGAAUCAUAGCAAAACUAGAGUCAACGGGAUUCAGAGAAUAUUAUUCUCGCUUUGAUUGUGGGUUUUUGAAAAGAUUGCAUCUUCAGACCUGAGUAGAUCAAAACAAGGUGAAUUUAUUCAAGCUUGUACCACAUAUAUGCGGAAGAGGUCUCCUCGUCUCGCUUGGAGAUACUCUACCAUUUGCAGCUCAAAACAGCAUAUUGAGACGUUUUCACGUCAGGAUGGUUGUAUAUAACAUUGGCAUAAAAUAAAUUAGAUAAGUCAUUGACUACAAAAA